rnacentral:lncRNA from 1 species
GGCGGGGCCGCGGGGCCUGGAAGCAGCCUCCGGGAUCUGCAAGUCUGGAAAGGCCACGUUGUGGACCUUGGCGCAGAGGUUAUGGGGGCGACCCGGAGCGGAUGGUUUCAGGAAAACUAGAACCCACCCUCAUGGCCUGAACAACUGGAGAGAAGAGGAUCGCAGCAAUUUAAAGCCAGCGGCAAGGAUCACAGUCCUGGGGUCAGGUGACCAAAGCCAGUUUUUCAGCCCUUAACAAGAACCUGGCUUCACCCAGCCAAACAUGAGUUAACGUAUCCAUUUUACACACGAACAAACUGAGGCGCAGAGAUGAUCACAGCUUGUUGGUGGCAAACUCCGCUAGGGCCUUCUCUGCUACCCUAAGGAGGUCCGACCGUAUGUUUUGGACCCCUUAACUCGGGAUACCGAUAAACGAAAAUUAAUAGGGUGUUGGAUGUUUUAAAUGUGUGCGGGAAUGUCAUUAUAUUGGCUAGAAUCAAACCUUAUUUAGACUUGUUUUGCACUUUUGUACACUUUAGUAAUUUUUAGUUUUAAUCAUAAGGGAGUUAAAGGCGAACACAACUGGUAUUUUUUUUUUUUUUUUUUUUUUUUUGAGACAGGGUCUCGCUCGGUCACCCAGGCUGGAGUGUAAUGCUGCGAUCUCGGCUCACUGCAACGUCCGCCUCCCGGGUUCAAGAGAUUCUCCUGCCUCAGCCUCCCGAAUAGCUGGGCGUGCCACCACGCCCGGCUGAUUUUUGUAUUUUUAGUAGAGACGGGGUUUCACCAUGUUGGCCAGGUUGGUCUCGAACUCCUGACCUCAAAUGAUCCGCCCGCCUUGGCCUCCCAGAAUGCUGGGAUUACAGGCGUGAGCCACCGCGCCAGGCCGACAACUGGUAUCUUAAGGCUUAGGGCCUCUGGUAGAAGUGAGCUCCACCUCCCUUCCUGUGUAGAAGGUAAAUGCAUUCAUUCAUUCAGUGAAUCGAGCAUGCAUGAAAUCGUUUGCGCACACCCAGAAGCCCACCUGCGAGCCACAGGAGCAGCCAUUCCAGGAAGCCAAGCUAUAAUGGGAGACGCAAGGAAUGGAGGCGGAACUCCUGUUUUUAAGUCCUAGCUCCAACACUAGCCUUGUCAGCCUGUAAUUCUGAAUUACUGGGCGCCUCUGAGGCUUCUUGUCUCAUCUGCAAAUCAGGAACAACGGCAUAGAGUGGUGAAUGCAUCAAGUGGGAUGAUGUCUGCAAGAAUCACCUGGCGGUCUUGUGAAACUGCAGCUUCUAAUGGGCAAGUCAGAGGGGAAGCCUGAGACAUGGCAUUUCCAGCACGUUCGGGGAGUGAAGAUGCUGUCGGCUGCCACCCUCCCUGCAAGGAGCCAGGGGAUAGAUGACCUCUACGCAAACUCUCCCCUCAAUGGGAAGUAGAAUCUCUUUCUCCACCUCUUCAAUAUGGCUGGCCCUGGAACUUCCCUUGGCACACAGAAUGCAGCAGAAUUGGCUUCAUGUUGUUUCUAAGCCUUGGCCUCAGAGGCCUUGCAUGCUUCCUAACCCUGGCUCUAGGAAACUUGCUGCUGUCAUGUAAGCAAGCCCAGGCUAACCUACUGAAUGUUGGUGUGUCCCAGUCAAAUCCAGCACUGCAACCAAUAGCCAGGCAGCCACCAGACAUGUGAGUGGGGCCACCUCACACCAGCCAACCUCCACCAAGUCAUCAGAUGUAUGAGUGAGAACAGCCCAGAACAACUGAGCCCGUCCAGACCAGCGGAACAACCAAGCUGACCAGUAGACUUAGGAGCAGUAAACAGAUGAUUGUUAUGGAAGCCAUUCUGUUUAGGGUGUGUGUGUUAUUGCUUGCAUCCAAAUACAUCCUAUCUCAUCUAAUGAGAAAAGGCCCUGCUCAAGGGCUUUUGCAGCUGUAGUUGGGCGCCGGAAGUGUCUUUGUGGUCAUUUCUUACUCCAUACACGGGGAGAUCAAGGCUCAGACCAGGUAGUGUGACUGUGGACAACACUUUCCUUACCCCUCUGUGACACUUAAAUCAAUGAAGCAGAUUCACAGAAGCAUGCAUGCUCACUGAACACAGUAUUUGCAUUCCUACCUCCAAACCUUUGCUCCACCCAUGCAUCCAGUAAGAAUGCCUACUUCCCUCCUCUCCUCCAUCGAGUUCUUUCUUUGAGUUCUACCUUCCCUAGUCUUCCUCCACUGCACCAACCCACGGUGAUCCCUGUCUCUUCCAAAUGCUUUGUAACAUGGUAGGCAUCACUCACUUGUGACUCAUUGGACCAUUUUAAAACUUGGUUUUCUGUGUCUCUUUUCCAACAAAAUUACAAAUUCUUUGAGGGUAAAAGUCAGGCCUAAUAGUUCUCUGUACUCCUAGUAGUGCCAGUGUGGUAAAAAUUUAACUUGACAAUUAGCAAAACCAAUAAAUUCCUUACACUAUUCUGUUCCUGUAGGUAAUCAGUAUAUGAAUAUGGAUUCCUAUGUGAUGAUUUUCUGGUCUAUUUUGUCCCUUUUUUUUUUUUGUUACUUUAACCAGGCCAUAACAUAAAGGUUAUGCCAUUUGUUACUGUCAAGCUUAAUUAAGCCCAUUAUAAUUCGUUAACCCCUGUGCUUGCUUUGUAAUUAACAUUGAUUAACACAAACAAGUACAAAAUAGGCCAUCAGCACUUUCCAGAAGUGCUGAUUACAAUUACAUUGGUAAUUCAAUACGGUAUAGAAGAUGGCAGGAUAGUAACUUGCACUCUGUUUACAUAAGGAGACAAAUGCUACCAUGCAAAACUAAGCCAAGAAACAAAAUACUUUCCUCAUCCAACUCACUGAUUAAACCCUUACCCUGUUAACUCACCCUAUGACUGUGUAAACCUCCAGUAAGAUUAUUGAAGGCACAGCUCCAAGUAACUUGCUUAAUUGCAUUCCUGGGACAAAAGAGGGAAGCGCUUCAAAGCUGACAGACAGAUGGUAGAGUGUCCAGUCACAGCAAAGCAGGCCCCGAGGCUCAUGACAGACAACUCCAGGGCUGAGAUCUCAUUUGUAGCUCUGGGAUAAAGUCCAGGGUUUGAUGGCAGCAGGCUGAAGUGUAAAGAUGCUCAACAAUGCGCACCCCAGAGACACUGAAUCUGAAAAAGCUUAGAGUGAAUAAAAAUCUGGAAAUGAACUCUGUCUGUCUAUUCACCAUUCCCCCCAUAAAAAAAUUCCUAUAUUCCGGAUGGUGUUCAAGUUCCCUUUCCACAGGACCUCAGCAGUCAGGGAGGUGCUCCUGCAAUCUAUGUGAAGGAGAUUUCACCAUGCCCACAUGGGAAUACAGUAGAUUGCCAGUAGGGAUGCCACACCUUUGCAUUUCCUCGUAUUUCCAGGAACAAAGCUGGGGUGCCUAGGAGCUGCAGCAGUUUUUCUUCUGUGUAAAAUAAGCAAGCAGGACUCUGCCCCACUGCACUCCAGGGAAGGAUUAAGAGAAUUGAUAUCAUCCAAAUCAAUUGGCCCUGUGCAGAUGACUUGAUAAUGAGGCCAUUGAGUUUUUAUGGUUCACUAUUAUUGCUACAAAAAUUAUGCUGCAGAAAUCAUUCAAAUGCUCAAAAAGGAGCAUUAGUACGAAACUGGGUGUUCCAAAGUUGUUGCUGAGAGGUGUGUAAUGUUCCUGAAGAUCCCCAAGGCACUAAGACUUCUCUGUACAUGAAUGACUCAUAGAGAAGAAAUACACCAGAUGAAAAUAUAUGGAGAAGUUUGCCGAAUGUCAUAUAACUU